GACGUAGGGUGCAAGCGUUGUCCGGAUUUAUUGGGCGUAAAGAGCGUGUAGGCGGCCUUACAGGUCAGCUGUGAAAACUCGAGGCUCAACCUCGAGACGUCGGUUGAAACCGUAAGGCUAGAGUCCGGAAGAGGAGAGUGGAAUUCCCGGUGUAGCGGUGAAAUGCGCAGAUAUCGGGAAGAACACCCGUGGCGAAGGCGGCUCUCUGGGACGGUACUGACGCUGAGACGCG
rnacentral:rRNA from 1 species